CGGUGGAGGGGAUUGGUGGUAUUCCGUGGUCUCUGCCUGGGCUGCCGAUCCCAGCAGCAGCUGCUCGCCGGACUCCUCCGCCCCUGAUGUCCCCGACGGCCGGCGUCUUCGCAGGAACAGGAGAGACUGGGUGCAGGAGACGUCCACGUCCUGCAGGAUCCAGAAGGUCGAUUUUUUUUCUCUGUUCCUCAGCAUAGGCCUCCGUUACAGUCCUCUGAUAAUUAGGAUGCACACCUCUGUUUAGGAAUCGUGGCUUAUUUAGGCAGUAGCUACAUUAACAUUUGCUUUGUAGCAGUUGUUCUUCAUGGAUACUGCCAAUUGUUCUUUUUCUAUAGCAGAGUGUUGAUGUUAAUUUCAAGUGUCUUGCUGUCAGAAUUGUGAGCUUCAUUUAGUUCGGUGCUCAUAUUUAGCUUUGUUCUUUCGAGCUCGCUGGACCGCGACAGGUGGUGUUACGAGGAAUCCAUGGAGGGGAUAUCUGAUCCAUAGUGCACUGUGGACAUCACCGGCGACACCCAUAGUGCAACGGGUCCACAAGUGCCGCAACCGUGGUGGCAUGCUAUCUUGGCUUUGGAUAUAAUUCUCAGGUACAGAGUGCAUUGGAUGCGGUGGAGGAGGCGGCCUCGGAGGGGGAACAUCAUCGGAGUGUCUGGUGGUGCAGCUAGGCGUCGAGGAAGAGGAUGUUAAACCUUGCCUGCAGGCCGGCUGCUUGCUGUGUGUUGUGUAUGUAGUGAUGAUUUGGUGGAUUCAACAGCCUUAAUUAUAAGGGCGUACUCAAACAGCAGUUGCCCCUGUUAAGCAAUCUUUGUCUUGACGCUGCCAUUAUUUGAUUCUCAAGGAUGCUUGAUAGGUGUCGAGGAGGAGCCUUGCUGGCCGGCUGUUUGCUGCUCCUGCCGCUGCUGGCUGUGCGUUGUAUGCACUGACAAUUGAACGUAUUUUUGUAAUG